CUUCUGUUUAUGGUUGUCUCAAUCCCAAGUGCCCUUCCCCGGUAGUUGACCUUUUCUAGGACUGUUCUGUUGUCAAAAUCGUUCCAGUGAACUAAAUUCAAUCCAAUUCCCAGAAAUAACACGAUUGUGCAAAUAAAUAAAUAAAACAUUAUUAAAUACAUUUACAACCUUUCUUAUUUUUUGUUAUUGUUUUUUUUUUUUUAAGUUAGCUUUGGUUUUCCUGGCUAACCACAUGUUAGCUAAGCCUAUAGCAUACGGAAUGUUUAAAUUAGCCUGUUAGCUUAGCCCAUACCCAUCACAAAUGUUAAAAUUAGACUUUUAGCUUAGCUAGGUGCCUCACAAGUGUUUAAAUUAACAUUUAAGCUUAGCCUAUAACCUGCGUAAUUGGUCAAAUUAGCCUGUUAGCUUAGCCUAUAGUACACUUUGCAGACGUUGAGUUUAGAUGCUUAGCUUAGCUGUACCCCGCACUAAUGUUCAAAUUAGUAUUUUACCUUAGACAGUACCCCACACAAAUAUGUAAAUGAGUCUGUUUGCUUGGCCUUUACAUUUUCAAAUUAGCCUGUCAGAUUAGCCUAUACCCUACACAAAUGUUCAAUUAUUAUUUUGAUAUGUAUUACACAUUUAAGUUUGAUUAGGCCUAGCAAAAUUCCAGCAGACUGAAUUAUUUUGCAGUGUUCAAAUGUCGCUAUGCUCAUGUCAGUAGACUAAUUCACAACAUAGGCAACUAAAAACAGAAUUAUAUGUAGCAUAUAUAUGUAUAAUAUUGCCCAAUACCAUAUAAGCUCAUUAUCAAAUUGUGUGUCCUUACACUUUCAGAAAAAAAGGUACAGAAGCUGUCACUGGGGUGGUACCUUUUCAAAAGGUACAAUUUUGUACAUUCUUUACCCCUAAAGGGUGCAUAUUGGUGUAAAUAUUAGUGCCUAAAUAGUACAUAUUAGUACCUUUUGAAAGGUAUUGCCCCAUUGACAAAUUUUGUACCAUUUUUUUUUUUCAGAGAGUGUAGUCAAAACCUCUCGGGCUGUGCCAGAUGCUGCUCUUUUGAAAGUGAAUGUGUCAGUUCCACCACAGAGGCUGAAGAGACUGUUGUGCCACAUACACAUCAUUUCAAACAGCACAGUUUGCUUUCAUUUCAAAACCGUUUGAGUGGGCCAAAAGGGAACGGUGUGGCAGACUUGGUUAAAUCUAGAGGGAGUAAUCCACGGAUGUCAGCUGAGUUGGAGACUAUGGCAACUGACAGCCAGGAGCUGAGCUCUCCAGAGGCAUGUUGGCCUAUUUGCACACAAUACAAGGACUGCAUUCUGAAGCCAGACGAAAGCUUUGUGUGAGGACUUCAGUGGAAAAAAAACAACUUCCUUAUUGUUACUUCUGCUGCAUCUCUCAAAUCAAAUUAUGAUCCAGUCAAGCUAACACCUCAAGUUGAACAUCAGUAUCAUAACUCAACAUCAAAGAAAAGUCCUUGGUUCGUGUAACCAAUCAUAAUGUUGUCAAACCUGUAUUAUACAGUAUUUGGUUUGAGAGCUGCAGAAGAGGUGAAGAUUAUUGGGUUCAAAUGAACAAGCAUUUAAAACGUGUUACUUGCUCCUCACGUUCUCUUAUUGUUAUCAACCUCAUAAAAUCUACACAGAAAAAUGAAACCAGAUAAACCAGGAUUAUGUUAAUCUAGUCCAAAUGUGUGUUUGGAAUGAUAUCAGCAUUGACAAAGUGGUCCAAAGUCAUUUUAUCUUAACCCUCCUAUUCUUAUUUUGUUCAUAUUAGGGUCAUUUACUUUAAAUGUAUUUAUCUUCCAUAAACCCAUUUCAUAAUAAUAUAUCCUCUUCACGUGCAAUACGUCGAAUAGUGGCCUCUUCAAACCCAGUCACUUUUGAUCGUGGAGAGAAGGGAGUGAAUCAUGAAAGAUUAUGCCUCUCUAAAUCCCUGUAACUAAUGCAUGUGUCUGUCUUCCUCCCUUGCAUCCGUGCGAGACAGAGAGGCAUUCCAGCCCACUGAUUGACAGCGAGGCGGUAUCUUCAAGAUGCUCCACAUGCCGGCCUCUUCGUUCUCCCGUUUCCUGCCAUUUUCUUAAUGGACACUUAACUCCUCUAUUGCUGGUCCUAAUAGUCCCUCAUUCUAUCAUCUCAUCAGCCCCCGCAGAGGCGCUCCUGUGGAUGGAAACACAAAUGGCAGUUUUAAUAAGCCCCUAUGUUUAUCCCGCUGGCAGUGGGGUUGCUGUUUAAUGCGUUCCUCCGUCGCUUGUGCCGUUAGAUGUGCAAAGCUCAUUAGAUCUUGGUAUUAAACACUGCUGUGGUCCUUCCGCUGUGAUUCUGUGAAAACUCCGAGCUCUUAGCG
ensembl:lncRNA